GAUCAAGCUUUAAAGGGCACAUAGUGGAUGCCUUGGUGCUAGAAGGCGAUGAAGGACGUGAUAAGCUGCGAUAAGCAACGGUGAGCUGCAAACAAGCUCUGACCCGUUGAUUUCCGAAUGGGGUAACCUGAUACCAUUAAUAUGGUAUCGUUUCUUCCUGAAUAAAAUAGGGAAGGAUACGCAAAACCCGGUGAAGUGAAACAUCUCAGUAACCGGAGGAAAAGAAAGAGAAAUCGAUUCCGUGAGUAGUGGCGAGCGAAAACGGAAGAGCCCAAACCGGAGGAUUUAUUCUCCGGGGUUGUAGGACCCCGCUGUGGGACUUGAGAAGAUAGGUGAAUGCUUUGGAAAGAGCAGACAUAGAGCGUGACAUCCGCGUAACCGAAAUCUUCGAUGGCCCUAGGGUGUUCCUGAGUAGCACGGGACACGUGAAACCCCGUGUGAAUCUGCGCAGACCACUGCGUAAGGCUAAAUACUAACUAGCGACCGAUAGUGAACCAGUACCGUGAGGGAAAGGUGAAAAGUACCCCUGUGAGGGGAGUGAAAUAGAACCUGAAACCAUGUGCCUACAAGGUGUAAGAGCAAGGACUUGUCCUUGUGAUUGCGUGCCUUUUGCUUAAUGAGUCUACGAGUUAGUGUCUGUGGCAAGCUUAAGUCCUUCUGGGACGCAGGCGUAGCGAAAGCGAGUCCGAAUAGGGCGACCACAAGUUGCAGGCGCUAGACCCGAAGCGGAGGCGACCUACCCAUGGCCAGGUUGAAGCAGCGGUAAAACGCUGUGGAGGACCGAACCGAUGUGUGUUGAAAAACGCUCGGAUGAGCUGUGGGUCGGAGUGAAAGGCUAUUCAAGCCCCGUGAUAGCUGGUUCUCCUCGAAAUGCAUUUAGGUGCAGCGUUGCGUGUUGAUGAGUGGGGGUAGAGCACUGAAAGGGCUAGGGGGCAUACCCGCCUACCAACCCCUAUCAAACUCCGAAUACCAUUCAAUAGAGCGCAGCAGUGAGACAGUGGGGGAUAAGCUUCAUUGUCGAAAGGGAAACAGCCCAGAUCAGCAGCUAAGGUGCCAAAAUCAUGCUAAGUGGAAAGGAGGUGGGGUUUCUUAGACAGUGAGGAUGUUGGCUUAGAAGCAGCCACCAUUUAAAAAAUGCGUAAUAGCUUACUCAUCGAGAGACCCUGCGCCGAAAAUGAUUGGCGAUAAGCAUGAUACCGAAGCUCUGGAUGUCAUGUUCCUGCGGGAACAUGGCGUGGUAGAGGAGCAUUGUCAGCUGGAUAGAAGCGGAAGGGCGACCGACCGUGGACUGCUGACAAGAGAGUAUGUAGACAUUAGUAACGAUAAGCCGGGUGAAAUCCCCGGCCGCCGUAAACCCAAGGUUUCCCGGGCAACGUUUUUCGUCCCGGGGUUAGUCGGGACCUAACCCGAGGCCGAUAGGCGUAGGGGAUGGUAAGCUGAUUAAUAUUUCAGCACCUGCAAAGUGAAGGGGACGCUUUCUGGAUUGCAACCAGGUUAUUGAAUUCCGAGCGGAGGCCUUGUGCCGAAGCGUAUUGCAUGAAAGAGGGCCAAGAAAAGCCGACACGACUAAAAGCAGCCCGUACCGUAAACCGACACAGGUGGGUGGGUAGAGUAUACCAAGGCGCAAGAGUGAAACCUGGUCAAGGAACUCGGCAAAAUAGCUCCGUAACUUCGGGAUAAGGAGUGCCCCCUUCGGGGGGCCGCAGUGAAAUGGGUCAACCGACUGUUUAGCAAAAACACAGCAUUGUGCAAAGACGCAAGUCGAAGUAUACGAUGUGACACGUGACCAAUGCCAAAAGAUUACGAUGAGAUGUUAGCCUUUAUUGGCAAAGCUUCGAGUCCAAGUCCUGGUGAAUGUCGGCCGUAACUAUAACGGUCCUAAGGUAGCGAAAUUCCUUGUCGGGUAAGUUCCGACCUGCACGAAUCGUGCAACGAGUUGACCACUGUCUCGACCAGGAGCUCAGUGAAAUUGUAGUGCCGGUGAAGAUGCCGGCUACCCGCAGAAGGACGGAAAGACCCUAUAGACCUUAACUGUAAGCUGUUACUGUUUAUUCGAUUUUAAUGCUCAGCAUAAGUGGGAGACUUUGAAACCAAUCUUUAGGGGUUGGUGGAGUCGCCAGUGAGAUACCACCCUUUGACAUUGGAUAAUCUAACCCCGAGCCGUCAUCCGGCCGGGGAACCGUGGCAGCCGGUCAGUUUUACUGGGGCGGUAUCCUCCUAAAGAGUAACGGAGGAGCGCGAAGGUUGGUUCAGCACGGUUUGCAACCGUGUGUCGAGUGUAAUGGCACAAACCAGCCUAACUGUGAGACCCACAAGUCGAGCAGAUACGAAAGUAGGCCAUAGUGAUCCGGCGGUAGAAAGUGGAAUUGCCGUCGCUCAACGGAUAAAAGGUACCUUAGGGAUAACAGGCUGAUCGCGCCCAAGAGUUCAUAUCGACGGCGCGGUUUGGCACCUCGAUGUCGGCUCGUCGCAUCCUGGGGCUGGAGCAGGUCCCAAGGGUUGGGCUGUUCGCCCAUUAAAGCGGCACGCGAGCUGGGUUCAGAACGUCGCGAGACAGUUCGGUCCUCUAUCCUCUGUGGGCGCAGGAAAAUUGAGAGGUUCAAACCCUAGUACGAGAGGACCGGGUUUGACGUACCUCUGGUGUUCCGGUUGUUCUGUCAAGAGCAUUGCCGGGUAGCUAAGUACGGUCCUGAUAAGCGCUGAAAGCAUCUAAGCGCCAAGCAGUUCUCAAGAUUAAUUUUCCCUGAAAGACCGUGGAAGACCACCACGUUGAUAGGCUGGGGGUGGAAGUGCAGUAAUGUAUGCAGCUCACCAGUACUAAUCGUCUGUCUGGCUUGAUUUC
rnacentral:rRNA from 1 species